GUUAUUAUAGUUUAAAAAUUAAAGCACAGCACUGAAAAUGCUAAGAUGAAACUUAAUUCUUUCUAAUAACA
rnacentral:tRNA from 1 species